GUUGCCGAUUUCAGGGGCUGGUUGGGUUCGCUCGAAUGACUGCCGGGGUCGACUGAUCUUGACAAGUGCUUACCAGGGGUUUGCACGACUCUAUCGAGCGCGACCAGUACUCCAUUCAUAGACCAUUAACGAUGUUCUCUUCGGGAUCAUAUCAUUCGGCUUGUUCAAAUACAUGGACCACCAGUCUCCCAAUGCCGUGCGGGAAGGGACUCGAAUAACGGGAGUGGCGAUUGUGAACUUGCGAGAACAACAGG